AUGAACGCUGGCGGCGUGCUUAAUACAUGCAAGUCGAACGGAAAUUGUAGCAAUACAAUUUUAGUGGCGAACGGGUGAGUAACGCGUUGGUGACCUGCCCCGAAGAGAGGGAUAACAGUCCGAAAGGAUUGCUAAUACCUCAUGUUGUUGCCGGGUUUAGAAGCUGGCAACUAAAGGCGUAAGCCACUUUGGGAGGGACCUGCGUCCCAUCAGCUAGUUGGUGAGGUAACGGCCCACCAAGGCGAUGACGGGUAGGGGACCUGAGAGGGUGGCCCCCCACAAUGGUACUGAAACACGGACCAUACACCUACGGGUGGCAGCAGUAGGGAAUAUUAGUUAAUGUGCGAAAGCGCGAACUAGCAACGCCGCGUGUGCGAUGAAGGCCUUCGGGUCGUAAAGCACUUUUCUAAGGGAUGAGGAAGGACAGUACCUUAGGAAUAAGCCUCGGCUAACUACGU
rnacentral:rRNA from 1 species